AGCUCACGGUGUAAUUGUGGUAUUGGUGAGUAUAAUAACUCUGACAGUGAUGCUGAUGACUGGUAUAGGAAAAGAAUGGAAGCAGAAGGACCCUUAGUUUAUCUUUGGGUUGCUAAAGAUAAACGCAUUGUUUUACAGUUUGGACUGGUCAUCCCUGCUUGAUGACCUUUUUUUUGGGGGGGUGCAACGGGAGGAGGGGUAUUAGAGGGAUGGCAAACAAUCAAGUAGUAAACAGGAAUAUCCAUCCAGUGGGGCGCUGGAGAAAAGAGAAGGGACCUCAGCCCCUGUCACCAACUUGCUGGGCAGCUGGAGGAAAUGCCCCUGGAUCCCGAUGAUGCGGGAGGAUCUUUGGGGAGCUAACAGUCUUGAUUCCAAGAUGGUUGGUGACUUUGGCAUUAUCCUAUGGCUGAGGACUGCCUUUUGUUGUUGUUAAAAGACGCAGAUCGAGUCUGGAGGGAGAUGAAAACACGUUUUUGCUCAUAACCUGAGGCUCUCUGAACCUUUAAACAAGAGCAUGGAUUCAGUUCAUAACAAAACCUUGGCAAUGACCUUAUAGAGUACCAGGGUCUCAGCCUCAAGAAGUUUGUCAGAAUGCUUGGGUCCAGCUCAAAGGAAGCCUUUUCCUUCCGCUCUGGAAGGCUUGUGAUCUGAAACUACAUGGUUAUUUUACCCUGUGAGCAAGUUAAUGUUUCUCUACUUCUGGAGCUUUCAUUUUCUUCCAAAGCAGAGCUAUUUUUUGCAGUUCUUGAGCUGUGAGCCCAUGAUUUACCACUGCUAUUCAUUCUCUUGCUUGGUUCCUUUACAAAGAGUUUAAUCAAGGAUCUUUACCUAUUCUUCCUGUCAGUCUCUUCCUGGUUUUGCCCUCUCCUUCUCAGCACAUUUCGUCAGAUUUUUAAGGACGGCAAAUAGACCUCAGUGUCAUCUCUGAAAAUUUGACUUUUUGGAGAAAUAAUAUUUUGCCAGGCAGAUUUCACAGUGAUUCCCUCGUGAUUCAGCUUUUUUCUUGGCAGUUCUUUCUCUCUGCUUUGGCAAUGCACUGGACUGAGGACCUGCAGGCUGGGGAGCUGGCCCAUGUCCCCAACCCCUGAGGACACUGCAGGGAGAAAGGUUACUCUCGUUGAGACUGUGCCCUGGGAGAAGGACUGGAUGGGGAUGCAGAGGUGGGAGGAGACCUGGAUAUGAGUGACUCCUCUGCUACUGUGUGGCUUUCUAAAUAGCAGUCACCCCAUCUAUGGUGGAGGACUAAUACUUGUACUUAUUUUUAGCUUAGCGUUCCUUUAAAAUGGUUUAACUGGGAGCAUUGAGGAAGUAGUUGACUCUUAUGUUAUUUGUGCAAAAUAAAUCAUUCAUGUCCAGUAUAUUAGACCAGUUUUUGGUGGGGUGGAAACACCCCAUUUUCUUGCAAGGCAACACACACAUUGUUUAGAUGAAGCUACAACCAAGAAUUAGAUGAAGAUGUGUUAGUUCGUUAUUGAUACAUGUGCAAAAGGGUGUUUGGUGCCCUUCUUGUAUUGGAGAUUGUCUGGAAUCAAAGGAAACCCUGGGAGAGUGUUGACAUUUACUCUUUAAAGGCACAGAGGUUGUAUGACUGAUUUGCAUCCAUCUACAGCUUUUUAUAUUUUUAUUUCUUUUUAUUUUUUUGGCCACACGUGUGGCAUGUGGAGGUUCCUGGGCCAGAGAUUGAACCUGUGCUACAGCAGUGAGAUCAGCCACUGCAGUGACAAUGCUGGAUCCUUAACCUGCUGUGCCACAAGGGAAUUCCAACCUACCCAUUUUUAUACCCUCUGAAAAUGAACUUUGCUUUAGAAAAAAACACGAAGUGCAUUUGAGAUUAAGAGUGGGCAUGUUCUAUAGCCUUGUAAAGACUGUCCGUAAUUCUUAUAUUUGGCAAACACCUAAAAAAAGACUUCAGUCGUGCAUUUGGGUCACAUUUCUUUUUGUCAGGUGUUUUCUCUGCUGUGUCUGUGUGCUUAUUUUACCUUUGGGUUUCUCUGUGUUCAGAAGACAUUAUUUACCCUAUCAUAUUAUGUAAUCAGAGGGAAGGGACCAAAUAUAGUCCCUAAGGAGAAGGGAUGGGAGAAUUUAAGUGGGAGGGCCGGGAAAGGUCACCUGUUGCAGAAGUAAGAAGCUAUGUGACUUUGGGCCAGUGGCUUUAUCUUUCUAACCUAAGGGUUCGUCACCUUUAAGAUACAGAUUGUAUAUUUUAAAGGGACGACAGACAUGCCCCGAGCAUACAGACCUCCGAAUUCAGUUCCCACCCUGUGUCUGGCCGUCUCUUAUCUUGGUCAUUCUUAAUAACAGCAACAGUUUUAACAUCUCCCACUUUUCAUCAAAUUCUUGCUUGUUUCACGGUCCAGUGUCUAAAUCUAAUCAAGCUAAUUAUCAUGCACAGUGUAUUUGUAGAAAUAUUUCAAUAGAAUGUAGCAAGAGUAAACCAUACAUUGCUGUAAAUACAAUGUAUUUCUGCACUGUCACAUUCUGCCUUAGCAUCAAAACAUGAAAGUACCUAUAAAUUGCUGAAAAAAAAAAAUCCACACAAUUCUGCAGGCUUUGCUCAGGGCAAACCGAUAGAUUCUCUGUUUAUAAGAAACAAAUAUUAGGAGUUCCCAUCGUGGUGCAGUGGUUAACGAAUCCGACUAGGAACCAUGAGGAUGCGGGUUCGGUCCCUGCCCUUGCUCAGUGGGUUAAGGAUCCGGCGUUGCCGUGAGCUGUGGUGUAGGUUGCAGACGCGGCUCGGAUCCCGCGUUGCUGUGGCUCUGGCGUAGGCCAGUGGCUACAGCUCCGAUUUGACCCCUAGCCUGGGAACCUCCAUAUGCCAUGGGAGUGGCC
rnacentral:lncRNA from 1 species